rnacentral:rRNA from 1 species
GACGAACGCUGGCGGCGUGCUUAACACAUGCAAGUCGAACGGAAGGGCCCUGCUUUUGUGGGGUGCUCGAGUGGCGAACGGGUGAGUAACACGUGAGUAACCUGCCCUUGACUUUGGGAUAACUUCAGGAAACUGGGGCUAAUACCGGAUAGGAUCUCCUGCUGCAUGGUGGUGGUUGGAAAGUUUCGGCGGUUGGGGAUGGACUCGCGGCUUAUCAGCUUGUUGGUGGGGUAGUGGCUUACGAAGGUUUUGACGGGUAGGCGGCCUGGGAGGGUGGCCGGCGACCAUGGGACUGAGAUAGGGCCCAGACUCCUACGGGAGGCAGCAGUGGGGAAUAUUGCACAAUGGGCGGAAGCCUGAUGCAGAAACGCCGCGUGCGGGAUGACGGCCUUCGGGUUGUAAACCGCUUUCGCCUGUGACGAAGCGUGAGUGACGGUAAUGGGUAAAGAAGCACCGGCUAACUACGUG